AUGCCUGAAAAGUCAGCUUACUGUGUUGCUAGAUCCUGCAGAGGAGGCAAAGAACGGGGUGGAUCCCAGGACAGAGGAAUCCAACAAGUCAACACAAGACUGCUCAUUCAUCUUUACAGAGAUCUUCCCCUAAAAGUGAUCGCUUGUUCAGCAGCCAUUGGAGGCCACCUUUGCUUCACAUAGGAACCACAUUUCCAAAAGUAAAUGUCUUCCUACAAUUUGAUUUCCAAAGCAAUUUUUGUCUUUGUUUUGAGCAGGGUUUCUCACUCUUGGGGCUAUUGAUAUUUUGGAAUUGAUAAUCCUUUGUUGUGUGUGCUGGAGGAAACGCUGUUAUGUACUGCAGGAUGUUUAACAGCUUCCCUGGGUUUUGUUCAUUUGACAUGGAUAGCGCUCUUCACUCAAGUUGUGAAGUUAAAAAAAU
rnacentral:lncRNA from 1 species